UACGGAGGGAGCUAGCGUUAUUCGGAAUUACUGGGCGUAAAGCGCACGUAGGCGGCUUUGUAAGUAAGAGGUGAAAGCCUGGAGCUCAACUCCAGAACUGCCUUUUAGACUGCAUCGCUUGAAUCCAGGAGAGGUGAGUGGAAUUCCGAGUGUAGAGGUGAAAUUCGUAGAUAUUCGGAAGAACACCAGUGGCGAAGGCGGCUCACUGGAGCUGGUAUUGACGCUGAGGUGGCGAAAGCGUGGGGAGCAAACAGG
rnacentral:rRNA from 1 species